GACGAACGCUGGCGGCGUGCUUAACACAUGCAAGUCGAACGGUAAGGCCCUGCUUUUGUGGGGUGGUCGAGUGGCGAACGGGUGAGUAACACGUGAGUAACCUGCCCUUGACUUUGGGAUAACUUCCGGAAACUGGGGCUAAUACCGGAUAGGCGCUCCUGCUGCCUGGUGGGGGUGGGAAAGUUUCGGCGGUUGGGGAUGGACGCGCGGCUUAUCAGCUGGUUGGUGGGGGAGUGGCUGACGAAGGCUUUGACGGGUAGCGGGCCUGCGAGGGUGACCGGCGACAUUGGGACUGGGCUACGGCCCAGACUCCUACGGGGGGCAGUAGUGGAGAAUAUUGCAGAAUGGUCGGAAGCCUGAUGCAGCAACGCCGCGUGCUGGAUGACGUCCUUCGGGUUGUAUACCGCUUUCGCCUGUGACGAAGCGUUAGUGACGGUAAUGGGUAAAGAAGCACCGGCUAACUACGUG
rnacentral:rRNA from 1 species